rnacentral:rRNA from 1 species
CCCUUGUACACACCGCCCGUCACACCAUGGGAGUCGUUUGCUCCAGAAGUGGCUACGCCAACCCGCAAGGGAGGCAGGCCCCCAAGGAGUGGUUGGUAACUGGGGUG